CAGCCGCCGCGGUAAUGCGAAGGGUGCAAGCGUUAAUCGGAAUUACUGGGCGUAAAGCGUGUGUAGGUGGUUGUUUAAGUCUGUCGUGAAAGCCCUGGGCUCAACCUGGGAAUUGCGAUGGAUACUGGGCGACUAGAGUGCGGUAGAGGAUAGUGGAACUUCCGGUGUAGCAGUGAAAUGCGUAGAGAUCGGAAGGAACAUCUGUGGCGAAGGCGACUAUCUGGGCCAACACUGACACUGAGACACGAAAGCGUGGGGAGCAAACAGGAUUAGAUACCCGAGUAGUCCCUGUCUCUUAUAC
rnacentral:rRNA from 1 species